rnacentral:rRNA from 1 species
UAGGGAAUAUUAGAAAUGGACGAAAGUCUGAUCUAGCAACACCGCGUGUGCGAAGAAGGCCUUCGGGUCGUAAAGCACUUUUUGGAAGGAAUAGGAAGGAAUGUACUUCCAGAAUAAGUCCCGGCUAACUACGUGCCAGCAGCCGCGGUAACACGUAGGAGGCGAACGUUAUACGGAUUUACUGGGCGUAAAGCGCGUGUAGGUGGUACUGUAAGUAGGGCGUGAAAGCUCCUGGCUCAACUGGGAGAGGCCGUUCUAAACUACAGAACUAGAGGAUGGUAGAGGGAGGUGGAAUUCCAGGUGUAGCGGUGGAAUGCGCGGAUAUCUGGAGGAACACCGGUGGCGAAGGCGGCCUCCUGGACCAUUCCUGACACUCAGACGCGAAAGCUAGGGUAGCAAACGG